rnacentral:lncRNA from 1 species
CUCAUUCACACUUUCUCUAUAUCUCCCUUCCUCACCUGUUCUCCCUCUCUCUCACCCACUCCCACUCAGAUUCGGCCGAGGCAAGGGCGUAGGCGGCACGAGGCUCCUGCGGUGGCACGGGGCGAGCUGCGCGAGGAGCCCACGACGGCACAAGGCACCAGUGGCGGCGCGAGGCGAGCCGCUCGAGGUGUUUCCACUAUGGCUCGAGGCGUUCUCGGCGACAGGAGGCGUUCAUGGCUGCAUGAGGCAAGCCGUGCGAGGCAUCCAUGGCGGCACGAGGCCCUCAUGACGACAUCGGAUGCAGGUCCGCGGCGGCGCUCCGCCCUCUACUUUGGUGUGGGGCUAUGGCCAAGAGGAGCUCUAGGCGACCGAUUUGGCGAGGAGCACCAAGGCGAUGCUCAGCCCUCGGCCCUCGACAUAGGGCCACGACUGCGCUCGGCAAGGAAGAGCCCCACGGUGGUAGAUUCGGUUAGUUGAGGUGGAGGUGGAACCCUGAAUGGGCUCGACGGGCCUAUCGAUGGGCUCAUCGGGCCAAUCGAUGGAUUUUUUCUUUUUUUUAUUUUUUUAUUUGAUUAACUCAGGCGGGCAGGCAACCGACUUGGAAAAUAAUCUAUUUACCGUGACCUUCAUUCCGAGACGGUUGCAAAAAGCAACUCGGUUAAUCAUUUUUGCCGGACUCUAUUAAAAAUAAUGUAGUAGUGUCUCCGUAACUCUCAACUAGAACUAAUAUACUACAUUGGAGAGUCUAGUCCUAAUCCUCCUUGUGCACCCUGAUCUAUGAAUGAGAGAUACGAAUUAUGGUUUUAGAGAUUUUCUCAACCAGGGGGUCACGGGCCUGCUAAUAUAUGCCAAUGGGAUGAACAAGAGCUCUUCGAUUAAAUCUAAAACUCAGAGAUUCCGUUGUAUAACUCUCUUAAGUCUCUCAACAUGUGGUAUUUUUUUGAUCUUCACCAAGGCAAUAAAGAUGUUAUGCCUUUUUCUAUUCCUACCACUAAGGCUUAUAAGGAGUUCAUAGGUAGGGAGAAAGCUAUGACAUACUUGUAAUGCACAUAUUGUAAAUUCAAACAAUGGACUCCAAGAGAGUUGAAUCAUACAAUCAAAUCGAAAUGUGCAUGUGUGUGGAAUAUAUCAUGGCUAAACACUAACUCUACUUUGCUCCUAAGAAUGUAUCUCUCUUUUAUAAUUUUAAUAUACUUGCUAGGGUAUAGGGGCCAUCUUAUUCAUCUCUAUCUCUCUUUUAUGGUAGGCAUCUCUUCUUAGAUAUCUCAAACACUUGUCCAUCUUUUUUUGAGCUCUUCUUUUUUAACUUUUUCUAAAUAACGUUUGCACAGAUCCAUGUCCCCCUUUUGCAACAAAACUCUUGAGAGAUAGGAACAAGAACUUGGAGCAUUUAAUUGGUGGUGAAAAACAUAUCAAAUAUAUUAUUGGUGUCCACUCCGAGAGCAGAACAUUUUUGGAUAGAUCCAAAUGGAAAACAUGUUUUUGCGCCUACCCUUGAUAUAGGAGUAGUGCAUAUGUGGGUGGUGUGUACAUGAUCUUGACUUUAAGAGCAUGGGAAACCUCUUAUAAGGGUUAACAAAUCUUGACAAGACUCAAUGCAAAAGCAAGCAGCAAAAACCUAACCUAAAUAACAUGUAUGGCUGUGGUGGGAAUUCAAGCUUUGUCAUACAUGUACUCCUGAUGUAGCAUCUUUGUGUUUUCAAAAAGUAAAUCUCUAGAAGUCUAGUAUCACUUGGAACAAGAUAAAUUGUAGCUCAGACCUUCUCAUAUCAUAUCUACCAAUUACCUAGACCUACAUCAAGCAUUCCCUAAUAACGAGUCCACCCAUUUUUGUGUUUUUUAAAAAGUAAAUAAUGUUCUUAAUAAUGUUCUUUGAUUCAUUG